rnacentral:lncRNA from 1 species
UCCCACGUGUCGGAGCACGACUUAGAGGCAUAACCGCAUAGUAGGCAUGUCGCAAGAGGGGUAAUCUUUACACAUCCCAUGUACUAAAUAAGAAAGGGAUAAAGAGUUGGCUUACAAUCGCCACUUCACACAAUACAUAAAUAAAGCAUUAAAUCAACCAGAAUACAAUCAAUGUCCGACUACGGAACCAAAUAAAGAAAGACAACCCCUAAUGCUAGAUCCCCGAUCGCCCCGACUGGGCUCCACUACUGAUCAACUGGAAAUGAAACAACACAACGAACAUGAUCUUCAUCGAGCUCCCAUCUGAGCUGGGUUGCGUCACCUGUACUGGUAUCAUCGGCACCUGCAACUGUUUGGAAGUAUCGGUGAGCCACGAGGACUCAACAAUCUCACACCCGCGAGAUCAAGACUAUUUAAGCUUAAAGGUAGGACAGGGUAGUGAGGUGGAGCUGCAGCAAGCACUAGCAUAUAUGGUGGCUAACUUACGCAAAUGAGAGCGAGAAGAGAAGCAAAGCACGGUCGUGAACUAGAAGUGAUCAAGAAGUGAUCCUGAAGCUACUUACGCACAACCAUAACACAAGAACCGUGUUCACUUCCCGGACUCCAUCGAGAAGAGACCAUCACGGCUACACACGCGGUUGAUGCAUUUUAAUUAAGUCAAGUGUCAAGUUCUCUACAACCGGACAUUAACAAAUUCCCACCUGCCACAUAACCGCGGGCACGGCUCUCGAAAGUUUAUACCCUGCAGGGGUGUCCCAACUUAGCCCAUCACAAGCUCUCACGGUCAACGAAGGAUAUUCCUUCUCCCGGGAAGACCCGACCAGUCUCGGAAUCCCGGUUACAAGACAUUUCGACAAUGGUAAAACAAGACCAGCAAGACCACCCGACUGUGCCGACAAAUCCCGAUAGGAGCUGCACAUAUCUCGUUCUCAGGGCACACCGGAUGAGACAUCCUACGAGUAAAACCAAGCCUCAAGUUUCCCCGAGGUGGCCCCGCAGUCUACUCGGUUCGAACCAGCACUCAGAGGAGCACUGGCCCGGGGGGUUAAAAUAAAGAUGACCCUUGAGUCUGCAGAACCCAAGGGGAAAAGGCUUAGGUGGCAAAUGUUAAAACCAAGGUUGGGCCUUGCUGGAGGAGUUUUAUUCAAAGCGAACUGUCAAGGGGGUCCCAUAAAUCACCCAACCGCGUAAGGAACGCAAAAUCAAGGAACAUAACACCGGUAUGACGGAAACUAGGGCGACAAGAGUGGAAUAAAACACCAGGCAUAAGGCCGAGCCUUCCACCCUUUACCAAGUAUAUAGAUGCAUUAAUUAAAUAAGAGAUAUUGUGAUAUCCCAAAAUAUCCAUGUUCCAACAUGGAACCAACUCAUCUUCACUUGCAACUAGCAACGCUAUAAAAGGGGCUGAGUAAAAGCGAUAACUUAGCCAAACAACGGUUUGCUAGGAAAGGAUGGUUAGAGGCUUGACAUGGCAAUAUGGGAGGCAUGAUAUAGCAAGUGGUAGGUAUCGCGGCAUAGGAAAAGAGCGAGCAACUAGCAAGCAAAGAUAGAAGUGAUUUCGAGGGUAUGGUCAUCUUGCCUGAGAUCCCGCAAGGAAGAAGAAUGAGUCCAUGAAGAAGACAAACGGACGUAGUCGAACGAAUCCUCACAACUCCGGAACGAAACCGAAGCUAACGAGAGAAGCAACCCGGAAACAAACAAACAACAUGGUAAACCAACAAGCACAAACAUGGCAUGAUGCACAACCAAGUAUGAUGCAUGUCCGGUUUAAAUAGCAUGGCAUGGCAAUAUGCACAAACAAAACUACAAGUUAAAUGGAG